UAUUAUAAAAAAUGUAAUUAUAAAAAAUAGAGUAGUAAUAGUUAUAUUCUUAAAACUUAAUAAAUUUGGCGGUAUUUUAAUCUAAUCAGAGGAACUUGUUUUAUAAUUGAUAAUCCCCGUUAAAUCUUACUUAAUUUAAUUAAUUUGUAUACCAUCGUCAUAAGAAUCUCUUAAAAAAGAAAAAAUUUUCUCAAUAAAUAAUUUUUUAAUAUGUCAGAUCAAGGUGCAGUUUAUAGUUAAGAAAAAAUGAGUUACAAUAAAAUUAUUUAUACGAAUAUUUAGUUUAAAUACUAAAUUGAAGGAGGAUUUGAUAGUAAAAUAGGUAAUUUAGCCUAUUUGAUUUUAGUUCUAAAAUAUGCACAUAUCGCCCG
rnacentral:rRNA from 1 species